rnacentral:lncRNA from 1 species
AUGCAGUCGCCUUCCCAAAGCAGAGCGGGAGAUCACGAGGAAGGGAGCCUCGUGCAGUGUGUCUGCGAAUGGCACAAUCUGGUGCCAGAAGUAGGACCAGAAGCAAGAUGGCCUUCAGAAGGAAGUGACAUUCUUGGAACUGCUGUGUGGUGCCCGCCUGAGGCCUCUGAGCUCGUCGUUUCCACGGCCCACCUCUUCUGCCCACGUGCAUCUUCUCCCAGGCUGAGAGCCCUCCUUCCGGCAGAAGCUUGACUUCGCUCGGGAUCUGCCUUGGACGAGGCUGCCUUAAUAUAGGACCUCGCAUCCCUCCUGGGACCCCGCGAGGCUGGGUGGUUCUUUCUGGUCCUGGGGAGUGCUCUGGUUUGUUUGUUUCUGUGCAUCUGUAAGUGAUUAAGUGGUUUGGCUUUUUUUUACUUCUGCUCUCCCUGCUUGUUUCAAAAACAUCUUUAAAGAGCAAACAUCACAUACAGGGGUUAUACGAAUUUCUUUUUUCUUUCAAAAGUGCAGUAGGAGACAGAAUGGGAUUCUCAAAGUGUAAGGCACGCCCGGCUUUCAGGGGCUCAGCUGGUCAUACAUUCAAACAUUGUGGUCCUUUGUGCAUAUUUUAAGCCCAUGGAUAGAUGACACCAAGGGUGAUUUGGAAUUCCAGUGGCCAUUUGAGAAUCAUUCCAGCUCCCCAAACUGGUUUCCUAGAAGUACAUUAGAAAGCUGCAGCUAUUGGGUUAAACAGUCUGAAUGAGGCACAUAUUUUUAAUUGCCAUCUGGAGUCUUCAAAGUGCAUUCAGGACUUUAAAAAGGCCUCGCUGCAAAGUGCUGUCUCCACGCCAGCCAAGGCAGCUCCUUCCCAGAGCCCUUCCUUCCCCUUCCCACAGGGCGUCCUCCUCCUCCUUCUCUGGCUGACCUCCUCCUUCCCAGAGCCCUUCCUUCCCCCUCCCACAGGGCGUCCUCCUCCUCCUUCUCUGGCUGACCUCCCCACCCCCUUUAUUCAGAGCUCCCCAGCUUUUCUCCACGACCACCAAUUCAUCUUUUAACAUGUGGAACCUCUAGGGAAGUUCUAGAGGAAGGAAAUAAAGUAAUUAAAUACGCUAUUCUGGCGUGUUGACAAUUUAGUUAGAG